rnacentral:lncRNA from 1 species
ACAGAGACACUUCAUGUGUCAUCACAGAGCCACAGAGAGACCCUUCAGGUGACAACACAGAGCCACAUAGAAACACUUCAGGUGGCUUCACAGAGCCACAGAGAGACAAUUCAGGUGUCAUCACAGAGCCACAGAGAGACACUUCAGGUGACAUAACAGAGCCAGAGCAAUACCAUUCUUGUGACAUCACAGAACCAGAGACAGAUCCUUCUGGUGACAUCACAGAACCACAGAGACAUCUUCUGGUGACAUCACAGAGCCACCGAGACAUCAUUCAGGUAACAUCACAAAGCCUCUAAGGGACUUUACAGGUGACAGAACAGAACCAGAGAGAGAUGCUUUAGGUGACAUCACAGAGCCACAGAGAGACGCUUCAGGUGUCAUCACAGAGCCACAGAGAUGCAAUUCAGGUGACAUCACAGAGCCACAGAGAGACACUUCAGGUGUCAUCACAGAGCCACAGAGAGAUACUUCAGGGGAUAUCACAGAGCCAUAGAGAGACUUUCAUGUGACCUCACAUAGAAACAGAGAUGCUUCAGGUGACAUCACAGAGCCACAGAGAGACCCUUCAGGUGACAUCACAGAGCCACAAGCGACACUUCAGGUGUCAUCACAGAGCCAUAGAGACCCCUUCAGGUGUCAUCACAGAGCCACAGAGUGACCAUUCAUAUGACACCAGAGAUACACAGAGAGACCAUUCAGGUGACAUCAAAGAGCUACCGAGAGACCCUUCAGGUGUCAUCACAGAGCCACAAAGAGACCAUUCAGGUGUCAUCACAGAGCCACAGUGUGAACCUUCAGAUGCCAUCACAAACCCACUAAGAGACCUUUCAGGUGACAUCACCGAGCCACAUUGAGGCACUUUAGAUGACUUCACAGACCACAGAGAGACACUUCAUGUGUCAUCACAGAGCCACAGAGAGACACUACAGUUGACAUUAAUGAGCCACAGAGAGAUGCUUCAAGUGACAUCACAGAGUCAUAGUGAGACAAUUCAGUAGACACCACAGAGCAACAGAGUUACCCUUCAAGUGACAUCACAGAGCCACAUAUUGACACUUUUGUGACAUCACAGAACCAGAGAGAGAUCCUUUGGUGAUAUCACAGAGCAACAGAGACCCCUUCUGGUGACAUUACAGAGCCACAGAUACACCAUUCAGGUUACACCACGAAUCCAUUAAGAGACAAUUCAGGUGGCAUCACAGAGCCACAUAGAGACCCUUCAGUUGACUUCACUGAGCCACAGAGAGACACUUCAGGUGAUAUCACAGAGCUAUAGAGAGACUUUUUGGUGACAUCACAGAGCCAUAGAGAGACACUUCAGGUGACAUAACAGAGCCAAAGAAAUACCAUUCUUGUGACAUCACAGAACCAGAAACAGAUCCUUCUGGUGACAUCACAGAGCCACAGAGACAUCUUCUGGUGACAUCACAGAGCCACAGAGACAUCAUUCAGGUACCUUCACAAAGCUUCUAAGAGACUUUACCGGUGACAUAACAGAUCCAGAGAGAGAUCCUUCAGGUGACAACACAGAGCCACAGAGAGACGCUUCAGGUGUCAUCACAGAGCCACAGAGAUACAAUUCAGGUGACAUCAAAGAGCCACAGAGACACUUCAGUGGUCAUCACAGAGCCACAGAGAGACACUUCAGGAGACAUAACAGAGCCACAGAAAGACCAUUCAUGUGACAUCCAAGAACCAGAGAGAACCUUCUGGUGACAUCACAGAACCACAGAGACCUAUUCUGGUGACAUCACAGAGCCACAUAGACACCUUUCAGGUGACAUCAGAAAGCCACAGAGAGACCGAUCAGGUGUCAUCACAGAGCCACAGAGAGACCCUUCAGUUGACUUCACAGAGCCCCAGAGAGACCCUUCAGGUGUCUUCACACAGCCACAGAGACACUUCAGGUGAUAUCACAGAGCCACAGAGAGACCCUUCUGGUGUCACCACAAAGAUGCAGAGACAUCUUCAGGUGACAUCACAGAACAACAGUGAUACCAUGCAGAUGACAUAACAAAGCCUCCAAGAGACCCUUCAGGUGAAUUCACAGAACAAGAGAGUGACCGUUCUGGUGACAUCACUUAGCGACAGAGCGAUGCUUUAGGUGACAUCACAGAGUCACAGAGACACUUCAGGUGUCAUCACAGAGCCACAGAGAGACACUUAAGGUGACAACACAGAGCCACAGGAGACACUUCAGGUGACAACACAGAGCAACACAGAGACACUUCAUGUGUCAUCACAGAGCCACAGAGAGACCCUUCAGGUGACAACACAGAGCCACAUAGAAACACUUCAGGUGGCUUCACAGAGCCACAGAGAGACGCUUCAGGUUUCAUCACUGCCACAGAGAGAUACUUCAUUUCUCUUCACAGAGCCAAAGAGAGACCCUUCAGUUAUCAUAACAGAACCCCAGAGAGACACUUCAGGUGACAUCACAGAACCACAGAGAAACACUUCAGGUGUCAUCACAGAGCCACAGAGAGAAUCUUCAUUUGACAUCCCUUAUCCACAGAGUGACACUUCAGGUGACAUCAGAGAACCAACAGAGACACUUCAGGAGUCAUCUCAGAGCCACAGAGACACACUUCAGGUGUCAUCACAGAGCCAGAGAGACACUUCAGGUGACAUAACAGAGUCACAGAGAUACCAUUUAUGUGACAUCACAGAACCAGAGACAGAUCCUUCUGGUGACAUCACAGAGCCUCAGAGACCUCUUCUGGUGACAUCACAGAGCCACAGAGAGACGCUUCAGGUGUCAACACAGAGACACAGGAUUAAAAUUCAGGUGACAUCACAGAGCCACUGAGAGACACUUCAGGUGAUAUCACAGAGCCAUAGAGAGACUUUCAGGUGACAUCACAGAGCCACAGAGAGACACUGCAGGUAACAAAACAGAGCCACAGAAAUACCAUUCUUGUGACAUCACAGAACCAGAGACAGAUCCUUCUGGUGACAUCACAGAGCAACAGAGAGACGCUUCAGGUGUCAUCAAAGAGACACAGAGAUACAAUUCAGGUGACAUUACAGAGCCACAGAGACACUUCAGCUGACUUCACAGAGCCACAGAGAGAUACUUCAGGUGACAUAACAGAGCCACAGAAAUACCAUUCUUGUGACAUCACAGAACCAGAGACAGAUCCUUCUGUUGACAUCACAUAGCCACAGAGAGACACUUCAGGUGAAAUAACAGAGCCACAGAAAUACCAUUCUUGUGACAUCACAGAACCAGAGACAGAUCCUUCUGUUGACAUCACAGAGCCACAGAGACUUCAUUCAGGUAACAUCACAAAGCCUCUAAGAGACUUUACAGGUGACAUAACAGAACAAGGGAGAGAUCCUUCAGGUGACAUCACAGACCCCAGAUAGAUGCUUCAGGUGUCAUCACAGAGCUACAGAGAUGCAAUUCAGGUGAAUCACAGAGCCACAGAGAGACACUUCAGGUGUCAUCACAGAGCCACAGAGAGACCUUUCAGGUGUCAUCACAGAGCCACAGUGUGAACCUUCAGGUGCCAUCACAAAGCCACUAAGAGACCCUUCAGUUGACAUCACAGAGCCACAUUGAGACACUUCAGCUGACUUCACAGAGCCUCAGAGAGACUCUUCAGGUGUCAUCACAGAGCCACAGAGAGACACUACAAUUGACAUUAAUGAGCCACAGAGAGAUGCUUCAAGUGACAUCACAGAGCCACAGUGAGACAAUUCAGGAGACACCACAGAGCAACAGAGUUACCCUUCAAGUGACAUCACAGAGCCACAAAGUGACACUUUUUGUGACAUCACAGAACCAGAGAGAGAUCCUUUGGUGAUAUCACAGAGCAACAGAGACCGCAUCUGGUGACAUUACAGAGCCACAGAUACACCAUUACGUGACAUCACAAAGCCAUUAAGAGACAGUUCAGGUGGCAUCACAGAGCCACAGAGAGACCCUUCAGUUGACUUCACAGAGCCACAAAGCAACCCUUCAGGUGUCUUCACACAGCCACAGAGACACUUCAGGUGCCAUCACAGAGCCACAGAGAGACCCUUCUGGUGUCACCACAAAGAUGCAGAGACCCCUUCAGGUAACAUCACAGAACAACAGAGAUACCAUUCAGAUGACAUCACAAAGCCUCCAAGAGACCCUUCAGGUGACAUCACAGAGACACAGAGACACAUCAGGUGUCAUCACAGAGCCACAGAGAGACGCUUCAGGUGAGAUCACAGAUCAACACAGAGACAUUUCAGGUGACAUCACAGAACCACAGAGAUUCCUUUCAGGUGACAUCACAGAGCCACAGAGAGACACUUCAGGUGAUAUCACAGAGCCAUAGAGAUACUUUCAGGUGACAUCACAGAGCCACAGAAAUACCAUUCUUGUGACAUCACAGAACCAGAGGCAGAUCCUUCUGGUGACAUCACAGAGCCACAGAGACCCCUUCUGGUAACAUCACAGAGCCUCAGAGACAUCAUUCAGGUAACAUCACAAAGCUUCUAAGGGACUUUACAGGUGACAUAGCAGAUCCAGAGAGAGAUCCUUCAGGUGACAUCACAGACCCACAGAGAGACACUUCAGGGGUCAUCACAGAGCCACAGAGAGACACUUCAGGUGACAUAACAGAGCCACAGAAAUACCAUUCAGGUGACAUCAAAGCACCAGAGAGAGAUCCUUCUGGUGACAUCACAGAGCCACAGAGACCUCAUCUGGUGACAUCACAGAGCCACAGAGACACCAUUCAGGUGACAUCACAAAGCCACAGAGAGACCGAUCAGGUGUCAUCACAGAGCCACAUAGAAACACUUCAGGUGGCUUCACAGAGCCAAGAGAGACCCUUCAGGUGACAACACAGAGCCACAGAGAGACACUACAGGUGAUAUUACAGAGCCACAUAGAGAACCUUCAGGUGACAUCACAGAGCCACAGAGACACGCUUCCUGUGACAUCACAGAGACACAGAGACCCCUUCUGGUGACAUCACAGAGCCACAGAGACAUCAUUCAUUUAACAUCACAAAGCCUCUAAGAGACUUUACAGGUGACAUAACAGAACAAGGGAGAGAUCCUUCAGGUGACAUCACAGACCCCAUAUAGAUGCUUCAGGUGUCAUCACAGAGCCACAGAGAUGUAAUUCAGGUGAAUCACAGAGCCACAGAGAGACACUUCAGGUGUCAUCACAGAGCCACAGAGAGACCCUUCAGGUGACAUCACAGAGCCACAGAGCGACACUUCAGGUGUCAUCACAGAGCCACAGAGAGACCUUUCAGGUGACAUCACAGAGACACAGAGACACAUCAGGUGUCAUCACAGAGCCACAGAGAGACGCUUCAGGUGAGAUCACAGAUCAACACAGAGACAUUUCAGGUGACAUCACAGAACCACAGAGAUUCCUUUCAGGUGACAUCACAGAGCCACAGAGAGACACUUCAGGUGAUAUCACAGAGCCAUAGAGAUACUUUCAGGUGACAUCACAGAGCCACAGAAAUACCAUUCUUGUGACAUCACAGAACCAGAGGCAGAUCCUUCUGGUGACAUCACAGAGCCACAGAGACCCCUUCUGGUAACAUCACAGAGCCUCAGAGACAUCAUUCAGGUAACAUCACAAAGCUUCUAAGGGACUUUACAGGUGACAUAGCAGAUCCAGAGAGAGAUCCUUCAGGUGACAUCACAGACCCACAGAGAGACACUUCAGGGGUCAUCACAGAGCCACAGAGAGACACUUCAGGUGACAUAACAGAGCCACAGAAAUACCAUUCAGGUGACAUCAAAGCACCAGAGAGAGAUCCUUCUGGUGACAUCACAGAGCCACAGAGACCUCAUUUGGUGACAUCACAGAGCCACAGAGACACCAUUCAGGUGACAUCACAAAGCCACAGAGAGACCGAUCAGGUGUCAUCACAGAGCCACAUAGAAACACUUCAGGUGGCUUCACAGAGCCAAGAGAGACCCUUCAGGUGACAACACAGAGCCACAGAGAGACACUACAGGUGAUAUCACAGAGCCACAUAGAGAACCUUCAGGUGACAUCACAGAGCCACAGAGACACGCUUCCUGUGACAUCACAGAGACACAGAGACCCCUUCAGGUGACAUCACAGAGCCACAGAGACAUCAUUCUGUUGACAUCACAAAGCCACCAAGAGACAAUUCAGCUGACAUCACAGAACCAUAGAGAGAACCUUCUGGUGACUUCACAGAGCCACAGAGAGACCCUAGAGUUGACAUCCCUUAGCCACAGAGAGAUGAUUCAGGUGACAUCACAUAACCACAGAGAUUCUUUCAGGUGACAUCACAAAGCUUCUAAGGGACUUCACAGGUGACAUAGCAGAUCCAGAGAGAGAUCCUUCAGGUGACAUCACAGACCCACAGAGAGACCCUUCAGGUUUCAUCACAGAGCCACAGAGAGACCCUUCAUUUGACAUCCCUUAUCCACAGUGAGACACUUCAGGUGACAUCAGAGAACCAACAGAGACACUUCAGGAGUCAUCUCAGAGCCACAGAGACACACUUCAGGUGUCAUCACAGAGCCAGAGAGACACUUCAGGUGACAUAACAGAGCCACAGAGAUACCAUUCAUGUGACAUCACAGAACCAGAGACAGAUCCUUCUGGUGACAUCACAGAGCCACAGAGACCUCUUCUGGUGACAUCACAGAGCCACAGAGAGACGCUUCAGGUGUCAUCAAAGAGACACAGAGAGACACUUCAGGUGAUAUCACAGAGCCAUACAGAGACUUUAAGGUGACAUCACAGAGCCACAGAGAGACACUUCUGGUGACAAAACAGAGCCACAGAAAUACCAUUCUUGUGACAUCACAGAACCAGAGACAGAUCCUUCUGGUGACAUCACAGAGCCACAGAGACAUAUUCUGGUGACAUCACAGAGCCACAGAGACAUCAUUCAGGUAACAUCACAAAGCUUCUAAGAGACUUUACAGGUGACAUAACAGAACCAGAGGGAGAUCCUUCAGGAGACAUCACAGAGCCACAGAGAUGCAAUUCAGGUGACAUCACAGAGCCACAGAGAGACACAUCAGGUGUCAUCAGAGAGCGACAGAGAAACCCUUCAGGUGACAACACAGAGCCACAUAGAAACACUUCACGUGGCUUCCCAGAGCCACAGAGAGACCCUUCAGGUGUCAUCACAGAGCCACAGAGAGAAACUACAGGUGAUAUCACAGAGCCACCAAGAGAAACUUCAGGUGAUAUCACGGAGCCACAGAGACACGCUUCCUGUGACAUCACAGAGACACUGAGACCCAUUCAGGUGAUAUCACAGAGCCACAGAGACAUCAUUCUGUUGACAUCACAAAGCCACCAAGAGACCAUUCAGAUGACAUCACACAACCAUAGAGAGACCCUUCUGGUGACUUCACAGAGCCACAGAGAGACCCUACAGUUGACAUCACUUAGCCACAGAGAGACCAUUCAGGUUUCAUCUCAGCCACAGAGAGACACUUCAGGUCUCUUCACAGAGCCACAGAGAGACCAUUCAGUUGUCAUCACAGAAACACAGAGAGAACCUUCAGGUGACUUCACAGAACCACAGAGAGACACUUCAGGUGUCAUCACAGAGCCACAGAGAGACCCUUCAUUUAACAUCCCUUAACCACAGAGAGUUACUUCAGGUGACAUCAGAGAACCAACAGAGAACUUCAGGAGUCAUCUCAGAGCCACAGAGAGACACUUCAGGUGUCAUCACAGAGCCAGAGAGACACUUCAGGUGACAUAAGAGAGCCACAGCAAUACCAUUCUUGUGACAUCACAGAACCAGAGACAGAUCCUUCUGGUGACAUCACAGAGCCACAGAGACAUCUUCUGGUGACAUCACAGAGCCACCGAGACAUCAUUCAGGUAACAUCACAAAGCCUCUAAGGGACUUUACAGGUGACAUAACAGAACCAGAGAGAGAUGCUUUAGGUGACAUCACAGAGCCACAGAGAGACACUUCAGGUGUCAUCACAGAGCCACAGAGAGACCCUUCAGGUGUCAUCACAGAGACACAGAGAGACACUUCAGGUGACAUAACAGAGCCACAGAAAUACCCUUCAGGUGACAUUAAAGAACCAGAGAGAGACCCUUCUGGUGACAUCACAGAGCCACAGAGACCUCUUCAGUUGACAUCACAGAGUCACAGAGACACCAUUCAUGUGACAUCACAAAGCCACAGAGAGACCAAUCAUGUGUCGUCACAGAGCCAUAGAGAUACAAUUCAGUUGACAUCACAGAGCAACAGAGAGACACUUCAUGUGUCAUCACAGAGCCACAGAGAGACCCUUCAUUUGACAUCCAUUAUCCACAGAGAGACACUUCAGGUGACAUCAGAGAACCAACAGAGACACUUCAGGAGUCAUCUCAGAGCCGCAGAGAGACACUUCAGGUGUCAUCAAAGAGCCAGAGAGACACUUCAGGUGACAUAACAGAGCCACAGAGAUACCAUUCAUGUGACAUCACAGAACCAGAGACAGAUCCUUCUGGUGACAUCACAGAGCCACAGAGACCUCUUCUCGUGACAUCACAGAGCUACAGAGAGACAGUUCAGGUGUCAUCACAGAGACACAGAGAUACAAUUCAGGUGACAUCACAGAGCCACAGAGAGACACUUCAGGUGAUAUCACAGAGCCAUAGAGAGACUUUCAGGUGUCAUCACAGAGCCACAGAGAGAGACUUAAGAUGACAAAACAGAUCCACAGAAAUACCAUUCUUGUGACAUCACAGAACCAGAGACAGAUCCUUCUGGUGACAUCACAGAGCCACAGAGAGACACUUCAGGUGAUAUCACAGAGCCAUAGAGAGACUUUCAGGUGACAUCACAGAGCCACAGAGAGACACUUCAGGUGACAUCACAGAGCCACAGUGAGACACUUCCGGAGACACCACAGAGCAACAGAGUUACCCUUCAAGUGACAUCACAGAGCCACAAAUUGACACUUUUUGUGACAUCACAGAACCUGAGAGAGAUCCUUUGGUGAUAACACAGAGCAACACAGACCCCUUCUGGUGACAUUACAGAGCCACAGAUACACCAUUCAGGUGACAUCACAAAGCCAUUAAGAGACAGUUCAGGUGGCAUCACAGAGCCACAGAGAGACCCUUCAGGUGACAUCACAGAGCCACAGAGAGACCCUUCACGUGACAUCACAGAGCCACAGAGAGACCCUUCUGGUGUCACCACAAAGAUGCAGAGACACCUUCAGGUGACAUCACAGAUCAACAGAGAUACCAUUCAGAUGACAUCACAAAGCCUCCAAGAGACCCUUCAGGUGACAUCACAGAACAAGAGAGUGACCGUUCUGGUACAUCACUUAGCCACAGAGAGUUGCUUCAGGUGACAUCACAGAGACCCAGAGACUCUUCAGGUGUCAUCACAGAGCCACAGAGAGAUGCUUCAGGUGAGAUCACAGAUCAACACAGAGACAUUUCAGGUGUCAUCACAGAGCCACAGAGAGACACUUAAGGUGACAACACAGAGCCACAGGAGACACUUCAGGUGACAUCACAGAGCAACACAGAGACACUUCAUGUGUCAUCACAGAGCCACAGAGAGACCCUUCAGGUGGCAACACAGAGCCACAUAGAAACACUUCAGGUGGCUUCACAGAGUCACAGAGAGACACGUCAGGUGUCAUCACAGAGCCACAGAGAGACACUACAGGUGAUAUCACAGAGCCACAUAGAGAACCUUCAGGUGACUUCACAGAGCCACAGAGGCACCCUUCCUGUGACAUUACAGAGACACAGAGACCCCUUCAGGUGACAUCACAGAGCCACAGAGACAACAUUCUGUUGACAUCACAAAGCCACCAAUAGACUAUUCAGGUGACAUCACAGAACCAUAGAGAGCCCCUUCUGGUGACUUCACAGCGCCACAGAGAGACCCUACAGUUGACAUCCCUUAGCCACAGAGAGACGCUUCAGGUGACAUCACAGCACCACAGAGAUUCCUUUCAGGUGACAUCAAAGAGCCACAGAGAGACCCUUCAGGUUUCAUCACAGCCACAGAGAGACACUUCAGGUCUCUUCACAGAGCCACAGAGAGACCCUUCAUUUGUCAUCACAGAAACACAGAGAGACCCUUCAGGUGACAUCACAGAACCACAGAGAGACACUUCAGGUGUCAUCACAGAGCCACAGAGAGACCCUUCAUUUGACAUCCCUUAUCCACAGAGAGGCAUUUCAGGUGACAUCAGAGAACCAACAGAGACACUUCAGGAGUCAUCCCAUAGACAGAGAGACACUUCAGGUGACCUAACAGAGCCACAGAAAGACCAUUCAUGUGACAUCACAGAACCAGAGAGAGAUCCUUCUGGUGACAUCACAGAGCCACAGAGACACCAUUCAGGUGACAUCACAAAGCCACAGAUAAACGAUCAGGUGUCAUCACAGAGCCACAGAGAUACAAUUUCAUUGACAUCACAGAGCCACAGAGAGACACUUCAAGUUACAUCACAUAGCCACAGAGAUAUACUUCAAGUGACAUCACAGAGACACAGAGAGACUUUCAGGUGACAUCACAGAGAAACAGAGAUGAUUCAGGUGACAUCACAGAGCCAAAGAGAGACCCUUCAGGUGACAUCAUAGAGCCACAUAAAUACCAUUCAUGUGACAUCAAAAAGCCACUAAGAGACUCUUCAGUUGGUAUAACAGAAAACAGAGAAAGACCCUUCUGAUGAAAUCACAGAGCCACAGGAGAUACUGUUCAGGAGAAAUCACAGAUCCACAGGAAUGAUACUUCUUGUUAUAUCCUAUUUGCACAUGAUAGACACUUCAGGUGACAUCACAGAGCCACAGACUGACCCUUCAGGUGACAUCACAGAACCACAGAGAGUCCCUCAGGGGACAUCACAGAGCCACAGAGAUAACAUUCAGGUGUCAUCAGAGAGCAACAGAGAUACAAUUCAGGUGACAUCACAGAGCCACAGUGAGACACUUCAUGUGACAUCACAGAGCCACAGAGACCUCUUCUUGUGACAUCACCGAGCCACAGAUACACAAUUCAGGUGACAUCACAAAGCCACUACGAGACCCUACAGGUGACAUCCCUUAGCCAUAGCCAGUCGCUAAAGUUGACAUCAAAGAACCACACAGAGACACUUCAGGUGUCAACCCAGAGCUACAGAGAGACACUUCAGGUGUCAUCACAGAGCCACAUAGAGACACUUCAGGUAAUAUCAUAGAGCCAUUGAGAGACUUUCAGGUGAAAUCACAGAUAAACAGAGAUGCUUCAGGUGACAUCACAUAGCCACAGAGAGACACUUCAGGUGACAUCUCAAUUCCACAGAGACACUUCAGGUGUCAUCACAGAGGCAUAGAGACCACAUCAGGUGUCAUCACAGAGGCACAGAGUGACCAUUCAGGUGACACCAGAGAUACACAGAGAGACACUUCAGGUGACAUCAAAGAGCCACAGAGAGACACUACAGUUGACAUUAUUGAGCCACAGAGAGACGCUUCAAGUGACGCCACAGAGCCACAGUGAGACACUUCAGGUGACACCAGAGAGCAACAGAGUUACCCUUCAAGUGACAUCACAGAGCCACAAAUUGACACUUUUUGUGACAUCACAGAACCUGAGAGAGAUCCUUUGGUGAUAGCACAGAGCUACAGAGACCCCUUCUGGUGACAUACAGAGCCACAGAUACACCAUUCAGGUUACAUCACAAAGCCAUUAAGAGACAAUUCAGGUGACAUCACAGAGCCACAGAGAGACCCUUCACGUGACAUCAGAGAGCCACAGAGAGACCCUUCUGGUGUCACCACAAAGAUGCAGAGACCCCUUCAGGUGACAUCACAGAACAACAGAGAUACCAUUCAGAUGACAUCACAAAGCCUCCAAGAGACCCUUCAGGUGACAUCACAGAACAAGAGAGUGACCGUUCUGGCGUCAUCUCUUAGCCACAGAGAGAUGCUUCAGGUGACAUCACAGAGACACAGAGACACUUCAGGUGUCAUCACAGAGCCACAGAGAUACCCUUGAGGUGACAACACAGAGCCACAGGAGACACUUUAGGUGACAUCACAGAGCAACACAGAGACACUUCAUGUGUCAUCACACAGCCACAGAGAGACCCUUCAGGUGUCAUCACAGCCACAGAUAGACACUUCAGGUUUCAUCACAGAGCCACACAGAACCACAGAGAGACAUGUCAGGGGGCUUCACAGAGCCACAGAAAGACCAUUCAGGUGACAUCAAAGAACCAGAGAGAGAUCCAUCUGGUGACAUCACAGAGCCACAGAGACCUCUUCUGGUGACAUCACAGAGCCACAGAGACACCAUUCAGGUGACAUCACAAAGCCACUAAGACACCAUUCAGGUGACAUCACAGAACCAGAGAGGGACUCUUCUGGUGACAUCACAGAGCCACAGAGAGUUGGUUCAGGUGUCAUCACAGAGCCAGAGAUACACUUCAGGUGACAUCACAGAGUCACAGGAGAGAAUCUUCAGGGGACAUCACUGAGCCACAGGAAUAACACUGCUUGUGAUAUCACAGAGGUGCAUGAUAGACCAUUCAGGUGAUGCCACAGAGCCACAGGAAUGAAACUAUUGGUGACAUCACAGACCCACAGAGAGACCAUUCUUUUUACAUAUCAGAUCCACAGAGAGACCUUUCAGGUGACAUCACAAAGCCACAGAUUGACCCUUCAGGUGACAUCACAGAACCACAGAGAGACUCUUCAGGUGACAUCACAAAGCCACAGAGAGACACUUCUGGUGUCAUCACAGAACCACUGAGAGAUCCUUCAGAUGACAUCACAGAGCCACAGAGAGACACUUCAUUUGACAUACCUGAGCCACAGAGAGACUCUUCAGGUGAAAUCACAGAGUAACACAGAGACAUUUCUGGUGUCAUCACAGAACCACUGAGAGAUCCUUCAGAUGACAUCACAGAGCCACAGAGAGACACUUCAGGGGACAUCACAGAGCCACAGAUUCACCCUUCAUGUUACAUAACAGAGCCACAGAGAGACCAUUCAGGUGACAUCACAGAGAAACAGAGAGACACUUCAGGUGACAUCACAGAGCCACAGAGGGACGAUUCACGUGACAUCAAAAAGCCACUGAGAGACUCUUUAGGUGGCAUCACAGAACCAGAGAAAGACCCUUCAGAUGAAAUCACAGAGCCACAGGAGAGACUGUCCAGGAGAAAUCACAGAGCCAAAGGAAUGACACUUCAUGGGAUAUCCGAGAGGCGCAUUACAGACCCUUCAGGUGACAUCACAGAGCCACAUGUUGACCCUUCAUGUGACAAAACAGAACCACAGAGAGUCCCUUCAGGUGACAUCACAGAGCCACAGAGAGAUGCUUCAGGUGUCAUCACAGAGUCACAGAGAUACAAUUCAGGGGACAUCACAGAGCCACAGAGAGACAAUUAAUGUGACAUCACAGAGUCAAAAAGUUACACUUCAGGUAUAAUCACAGAGCCACAGGAGAGAAUCUUCAGGAGACAUCAAACAGCCACAUGAAUAACACUGCUUGUGAUAUCACAGAGGAGCAUGAUAGACCCUUCAGGUGAUGUCACAGAGCCACAGGAAAGAAACUAUUGUUGACAUCACAGAGCCGCAGAGAGAAUCUUCUGGAUAAAUCACGGAGCCACAGAGAGAAACUUCAGGUGACAUCACAGAGCCACAGAUUGACCCUUCAGGUGACAUCAGAGAACCACAGGGAUACCCUUCAUGUGACAUCACAAAGCCACAGAGAGACCAAUCAGGUGUCAUCACAGAGCCACAGAGAUACAAUUCAGGUGACAUCACAGAGCCACAGAAGACACUUCAAGUGACAUCACAUAGCCACAGAGUUACAUUUCAAGUGACAUUACAGAGGCACAGAGAGAUUUUCAGGUGACAUCACAGAGAAAAAGAGAGACGCUUCAGGUGACAUCACAGAGCCACAGAGAGACCCCUCAGGUGACUUCAGAGAGCCACAGAAAUACAAUUCAGGUGACAUCAGAAAGCCACUAAGAGACUCUUCAGGUGGCAUCACAGAACCAGAGAAAGUCCUUUCUGAUGAAAUCACAGAGCCACAGGAGAGAUUGUUCAGGAGAAGUCACAGAGCCACAGGAAUGACACUUCUAGUGAUAUCUGAGAGGCACAUGAUAGACCCUUCAGGUGACAUCACAGAGCCACAGAUUGACCCUUCAGGUGACAUCACAGAACCACAGAGAGUCCCUUGAGGUGACAUCACAUAGCCACAGAGAGACCAUUCAGGUGUCAUCGGAGAGCAACAGAGAUACAAUUCAGGUGACAUCACAGAGCCACAGAGAGAAACAUCAUGUGACAACACAGAGCCACAGAGACACCAUUCAGUUGACAUCACAAAGCCACCAAGAGACCCUUCUAGUGACAUCACAGAACCAGAGAGAGACCCUUCAGGUGACAUCACAGGGCCACUGAUUGACACUUCAGGUGAAAUCACAGAACCACAGAGAGACCCUUCAGGUGACAUAACAAAGCCACAAAGAGACUGAUCAGGUGUCAACACAGUGCCACAGAGAUACAAUUCCUGUGACAUCACAGAACCACAGAGAGACAUUUCAAGUGACAUCACAGAGCCACAGAGUUAUACUUCAGGUGACAUCACGGAGGCACAGAGAGACUUUCAGGUGACAUAACAGAGAAACAGAGAGACCCUUCAGGUGUCAUCACAGAGCCACAGAGACACUUCAGGUGACAUAACUGAGCCACAGAGAUAGCCUACAGGUGACAUCACAGAGCCACAGGGAGACCCCUCAGGUGACAUCAGGUAGCCAUGAGAAACACUUCUGUUGAUAUCACACAGAUGCAGAGACCCAUUCAGGUGACAUCACAGAAACACAGAAAUACAAUUCAGAUGACAUCACAAAGCCUCCAAGAGACCCUUCAGGUGACAUCACAGAACGAGAGAGUGACCCUUAAGGUGAAGUCACUUAGCCACAGAGAGACGCUUCAGGUGACAUCACUGAGCCACACAGAGACACUUCAGGUGUCAUCACAGAGCCACAGGGAGAUGCUUCAGGUGACAUCACAGAGCCAACAGAGACAUUUAAGGUGUCAUCACAGAGCCAAGAGAGACUUUUCAGGUAACAUCACAGAGCCACAUUGAGUCACUUCAGGUGACAUCACAGAGCCACAGAGUGACUUUCAGGUGACAACACAGAGUCACAGUGUUACCCUUCAG